rnacentral:rRNA from 1 species
AGGGUUUGAUUAUGGCUCAGAUUGAACGCUGGCGGUAUGCUUAACACAUGCAAGUCGAACGGAAACGGAACUAGCUUGCUAGUAGACGUCGAGUGGCGGACGGGUGAGUAACGCGUAGGAAUCUGCCUGAUAGUGGGGGAUAGCCCGAAGAAAUUCGGAUUAAUACCGCAUAAUCUAUUCGUAGUAAAGUGGGGGACUUUCGAGCCUCACGCUAUCAGAUGAGCCUGCGUAAGAUUAGCUUGUUGGUAGGGUAAAAGCCUACCAAGGCAACGAUCUUUAGCUGGUCUGAGAGGAUGAUCAGCCACAUCGGGACUGAGACACGGCCCGAACUCCUACGGGAGGCAGCAGUGGGGAAUAUUGGACAAUGGGGGCAACCCUGAUCCAGCAAUACCGCGUGUGUGAAGAAGGCCUGAGGGUUGUAAAGCACUUUCAAUUGUGAAGAAAAGUUAACGGUUAAUAACCGUUGACCUUGACGUUAACUUUAGAAGAAGCACCGGCUAACUCCGUGCCAGCCGCCGCGGUAAUUC